rnacentral:rRNA from 1 species
CCUACGGGAGGCAGCAGUGAGGAAUAUUUGUCAAUGGACGAGAGUCUGAACCAGCCAAGUAGCGUGAAGGAUGGCUGCCCUAUGGGUUGUAAACUUCUUUUAUAUGGGAAUAAAAUGUUCCACGUGUGUGAUUUUGUAUGUACCCUAUUAAUAAGGAUCGGCUACCUCCGUGCCAGCAGCCGCGGUAAUACUGAGGAUCCGAUCGUUGUCCGGAUUUAUUGGGUUUAAAGGGAGCGUAGGUGGAUUGUUAAGUCAGUUGUGAAAGUUUGCGGCUCAACCGUAAAAUUGCAGUUGAAACUGGCAGUCUUGAGUACAGUAGAGGUGGGCGGAAUUCGUGGUGUAGCGGUGAAAUGCUUAGAUAUCACGAAGAACUCUGAUUGCGAAGGCAGCUCACUGGACUGCAACUGACACUGAAGCUCGAAAGUGAGGGGAGCAAACAGGAUUAGAUACCCUUGUAGUC